AGAAAAGCAGUGCCUUGUUGCCUCUUGUGAACUGGGCUCUUGUAAACUUCAGGGAAAUUGUUUUCAUUGUUAUUGGGUGAACCUUUGUUUUUCACUGUGGCUGAAGGUUCAGUAAAUGAUGGAACAUUA
rnacentral:snoRNA from 1 species